AACGAACGCUGGCGGCAUGCCUAACACAUGCAAGUCGAACGAGACCUUCGGGUCUAGUGGCGCACGGGUGCGUAACGCGUGGGAACCUGCCCUUAGGUUCGGAAUAACUCCCCGAAAGGGGUGCUAAUACCGGAUAAUGUCUUCGGACCAAAGAUUUAUCGCCCUUGGAUGGGCCCGCGUUGGAUUAGCUAGUUGGUAGGGUAAAAGCCUACCAAGGCGACGAUCCAUAGCUGGUCUGAGAGGAUGAUCAGCCACACUGGGACUGAGACACGGCCCAGACUCCUACGGGAGGCAGCAGUGGGGAAUAUUGGACAAUGGGCGAAAGCCUGAUCCAGCAAUGCCGCGUGAGUGAUGAAGGCCUUAGGGUUGUAAAGCUCUUUUACCCGGGAUGAUAAUGACAGUACCGGGAGAAUAAGCUCCGGCUAACUCCGU
rnacentral:rRNA from 1 species